GAUGAACGCUGGCGGCGUGCCUAAUACAUGCAAGCCGAGCGAACAGACGAGGAGCUUGCUCCUCUGACGUUAGCGGCGGACGGGUGAGUAACACGUGGAUAACCUACCUAUAAGACUGGGAUAACUUCGGGAAACCGGAGCUAAUACCGGAUAAUAUAUUGAACCGCAUGGUUCAAUAGUGAAAGACGGUUUUGCUGUCACUUAUAGAUGGAUCCGCGCCGCAUUAGCUAGUUGGUAAGGUAACGGCUUACCAAGGCAACGAUGCGUAGCCGACCUGAGAGGGUGAUCGGCCACACUGGAACUGAGACACGGUCCAGACUCCUACGGGAGGCAGCAGUAGGGAAUCUUCCGAAAUGGGCGAAAGCUUGACGGAGCAACGCCGCGUGAGUGAUGAAGGUCUUCGGAUCGUAAAACUCUGUUAUUAGGGAAGAACAAAUGUGUAAGUAACUAUGCACGUCUUGACGGUACCUAAUCAGAAAGCCACGGCUAACUACGUG
rnacentral:rRNA from 1 species